CACGUAGGGUGCGAGCGUUGUCCGGAAUUAUUGGGCGUAAAGAGCUCGUAGGCGGCUUGUCGCGUCGUCCGUGAAAACCUGCAGCUCAACUGCAGGCUUGCGGUCGAUACGGGCAGGCUAGAGUUCGGUAGGGGAGACUGGAAUUCCUGGUGUAGCGGUGAAAUGCGCAGAUAUCAGGAGGAACACCAAUUGCGAAGGCAGCUCGCUGGGACGUGACUGACGCUGAGACGCGAAAGCAUGGGGAGCGAACAGG
rnacentral:rRNA from 1 species